rnacentral:rRNA from 1 species
GAGUUUGAUCGUGGCUCAGAACGAACGCUGGCGGCGUGCUUAACACAUGCAAGUCGAACGAGAAAGAGUUCUUCGGAACUUGAGUAAAGUGGCGCACGGGUGAGUAACGCGUAGAUAACCUGCCCUGAUGUCUGGGAUAACCCUUCGAAAGGGGGACUAAUACCGGAUACGCUGAUUUUCAUAAGGAGAAUCAGGAAAGAUGGCCUCUGAUAUAAGCUAUCGCAUUUGGAGGGGUCUGCGUACCAUUAGCUUGUUGGUGGGGUAACGGCCUACCAAGGCAACGAUGGUUAGCGGGUCUGAGAGGAUGAUCCGUCACACUGGCACUGAAACACGGGCCAGACUCCUACGGGAGGCAGCAGUGAGGAAUAUUGCGCAAUGGGGGAAACCCUGACGCAGCGACGCCGCGUGAGUGAGGAAGGCC